rnacentral:rRNA from 1 species
UAAUACGAGAGGUCCAAACGUUAUUCGGAAUCACUGGGCUUACAGAGUUCGUAGGCGGUCCAGAAAGUGGGGUGUGAAAGCCCUCGGCUCAACCGAGGAACUGCGCUCCAAACUACUGGGCUAGAGGAAGAUAGAGGUGAGCAGAACUGAUGGUGGAGCGGUGAAAUGCGUUGAUAUCAUCAGGAAUACCGGAGGCGAAGGCGGCUCACUGGGUCUUUUCUGACGCUGAGGAACGAAAGCUAGGGGAGCAAACGGGAUUAGAUACCCCGGUAGUCCUAGCCGUAAACGAUGAGCACUGGGCCGGAGCUCUGCACAGGGUUUCGGCCGUAGCGAAAGUGUUAAGUGCUCCGCCUGGGGAGUAUGGUCGCAAGGCUG